rnacentral:lncRNA from 1 species
UAGUAACAUCUAAAGUAGUUCUAGCAUUACGUACAUUGAUUAUGCUAAGGUUACCUAAGGUUGCUAACAUAUUACAAACAGAUUCAGAUACAAAAUUAGUUAUGGCUGCUCCUAGUGCAUCAGUUUCCAAUAUAUUGAUAUGGUGUUCCAGUGGUGCAUCCAAAACAUGAGGUUGAUAGCUAAUACGAGUAUUGGUAUUGUAACCUGCCUUAGCCAAAACAUCUGCCAUCAUGUUACCCUGUCUAAAAUUAUGUCGUACCAACGGAUUCCUG